CUGACUCAGAACUCAGGACGGAUGUUACAUGUCUACUUGUAGAAAGAAUUCUUUUGGAGUCUUAGCUUUUAGAGACGGAGAUCAUAAGCAGACAGAGAGGCAG